rnacentral:rRNA from 1 species
GACGGGGGAUGCGAGCGUUAUCCGGAAUUAUUGGGCGUAAAGAGCUCGUAGGCGGUUUGUCACGUCUGCUGUGAAAACUGGAGGCUCAACCUCCAGCCUGCAGUGGGUACGGGCAGACUAGAGUGCGGUAGGGGAGAUUGGAAUUCCUGGUGUAGCGGUGGAAUGCGCAGAUAUCAGGAGGAACACCGAUGGCGAAGGCAGAUCUCUGGGCCGUAACUGACGCUGAGGAGCGAAAGCAUGGGGAGCGAACAGG